CGUUGUCUUCGGACAACCACCAAUGCUCAAUGGGUCUGUGAUGAGCGCCUUCGGGUGACCUAGCUGUCAGUCGACAGCCACCAAUGAUCCAGUCACUUGUGAGGAUCGCCUUCGGGUAGUGGCAAAAAAACGCUUCCGUAGCUUGAAAGGAAGCACACCGUUUACGGUGUAGUACAUC
rnacentral:sRNA from 1 species